AAGUUCGCAACGCAGCGCGCUAACCGCUACACUACCGCUCCCCACAUCAUCACCAACAACACCAACAUUGUGAAUGUGCAAUGGGGAAUGGUCAGCCGAUCAACGUGGGCAGCUUUCUCCGCCUCCUCGUCCCCACGCCGAGUCCACCUCUCGCUGCCGCACGCGAGCGCAUCCCUUCGCUCACAGCACGCGCACUCUCUUUAUAUAGAGAGUUGCUGUACAUAGCGCGGUGCUGUGCGUAGCGCGGUGCUGUGCGUAGCUCGGUGCUGUGCGUAGCUCGGUGCUGUGCGUAGUGCGACGCUGUGCGUAGCGCGGCGCUGUGCGGAGCACAGUACUGUAGCGUAGAACAGUGCUGUUGUACGCCAAAGUCCAUGACGGAUGCGGUGAGUGCGUGGCUGCUGUCGUGGACGCGCUGGGUGGACGCCUCCGCCACGCCGAGUGUGGUACUCGCAGCUGCCGGGACCCCAGUGCCACCCACGUGGCGCGGGAUGUGGAGCCCCACCUGAGGCACUGACUCGAGACCCGACGAAGGAGCAGCGCCCCCCCCCCCUCCAUCCUGGUUUCUCUGCUACCCCGACCGCAGUGGAGACCGCUCUCAACCGCAUCCCAACAACCACAACAGCAGCACCACCACUGGGCAGGAGGAGCUUCCGGCUGGCUGGUGGAGGUGGAGGAGGCUUCUGUGGGUACGACGACGACCCAGCCCCGCGGUCCGCUACCAACGGGGCCGUGCCCCCCUCCCCGCGCCCCCGCCUGCUCCCCAGAACGUGACUCACAACAACGAGGGCCCAAGCAGGGCCCCCCUCAUCCCACCCCCGCCCCAUAACCUCCGCGGCGCCCCCUCUUUCUGUGCUCGGCGCUUCGACGUGAGAAAUAAUAAGACUCAUUAGCGCCGCUCUCCUUUGUCGAGGGACCUCCUCUCAACUUGUUUGCCAUCUUGCAGGAUUCGCUGUUUGUGUGUUCGUGUGAGAGAGAGAGAGAGCGGGGUGGUAGAAAAUGCGGGGUGGGGGUUGAAGUGAGAGAGAGAAGAGAGAGGGAGAAGCGGGCAGCAUUAUGAGGCCGUGUCCGUGCCGGCCGCCAGCUCGGAGGGCUUAGCGCCAGCACGGCGAGCGAGAGAAAGACAGCCUUUUCAUUUUGCGUGAUGAGUGCUGAAGGGAAGAAGAGGAGGAGGAGCGAGCCCGAGCUGUGAGGAGGUGGGUAACGUCACUGGCGCCUUCUCAUCCGCGCCCUGCGGAAAUCUCCACAGUUUCUCGCCGUGAGUGCGCAAUAACUCGUCGGAUCUCGUAAGCCAAGCGGGAUUGAGCCUGUUUGGCUCUAGGAAGAUGGAUCUCCGUCACUGCUGACCCGUCCUUGGAGACCUGCAGAUGGAGGUGGAGCCGAUUCUUCACUCCUGAUGACCCAACAUCUUCUGCACUUACAGAUUUCUGCAGAUGGAGGUGAUCCCAGGUCUCCGUUCCCGCCGACCCCGUCCUCCGCACGUGGAGAUUCCCGAAGAUGGAGGUGGAUGCUGAUUGCACUGCCAACCGCUCUCCGAUGCCUCUCCCCUGGUCCAUACCUCAUUUCCCGCCCCGAUCCACGAAUUUUGCAUGCUGCCCACACUUCCCUGAUCCCACAGAACCACACAGAGGUUCCGGUCACUUGCCCGUGGCAUUUGUGGCACGCCAUGUGCAGUGCCGAAGAUCUAAGUGCGUGUCCUGGGAUAAACUCUUGCAGUGCAGUCCAGAGGAAGGGACAUCGCGGUUUCCAGCAAUCGUAUCUCUUAUUUCUCCUCUUUGUUAGUUUGUUUUAAUGAUGUGAAUUAACUGUAUUUUUGUCUACAGUUGUUAGCUCCAUUAACCUUGAAGAUAAUUUGCAUAAUCACCAAUUCUCACUCACACGGAUCGAUGUUCGGCUUGAGACAAAAACGCGUCCAUGUCUUCGUGAUGUGUUCAGUACAAAGACAGAGUCCCGUAGAGUUGUUCACAGAUUGAUGGACCCCACAGCAGCAAAACUCGGCAAGACCCUCCUGAAAAAGAGUCACGAGACUCAGUGAGGCGUUCCUGGGGAAAGUAGCAACAUUAAUACAAUCAUAAUCUUUAUGUAUCCUGGAGGAAUCUGAUGAGCUAUGAAGCUCAGAUGACCAAUACAAUAAACACAAUCGUCACUCAGACAGGAAUCAUCUUGCAACGGGGCCACCUGUGUCCGUCUGCCUCCACUUUCCUGUCCGUCUGUUCUACCGCGCCUCAGUCUGAGACAUUCAUUUCCUGUCUGUGACAUCACUAUCCUCUGUGAAGCAGCAUAUAUUUCGCGUAAAUAUAUAUUUUUAGAAUAAUGAUUUGAUGCAUGUCUCCUGAGUGUAAGAUCAGCAGCAGCAGAAGCAUGAAACCAUUACCAUCACCACCACUAUCAUCACUAAAUAAAAAUAUUCCCCCUAUAAGCUUUACAGACUAUUGGGGCAAGUGCUGUUAGCGAGCACCUAUGACGAUCGGAACGGCACAC